UCCCCAGUAGCUCAGCGGUAAAGAAUCUGCCUGUAAUACAGGAGACCCAGGUUCAAUCCCUGGGUCAGGAG
rnacentral:tRNA from 1 species